AUGCAUGCUUACGCACCCAUAUAUCUCGAAUGAGCAAUUUCAAGUACCUAAAAAUCAUAUUGGAGAAUUUUGAUGAUGGAAAGCUGGAAGAUUUCGGCAACUCAUGCCUUGAGUUCCUUGCUAAGGUGGAAAUUGAUCAUUUUUAGCUGGAAAAGCCUAAUGAUUUCUGAAUAAGAACCACACGAUAUGUUGAGUGUUAUAAUUCAUAUUGAUGAAGCACAAAAUUGUCAAUCUAGUCAGCAUCUAUCAUUGGCGUACGUCACGUUUCAGGUCCACUAGGGUGAUUCGGGACGGGUCGUGUCAAGAUCCAUUCAAACUGAUAAGGCAAAUUCAAUGUAUGUGGGCACCUGAAAAGGUUCUUAUCGUGUACUCUUACGAUCGUGACGGGAUUAAAAUGUGGUCUCGUCCAGGAAGGUGAUGAAUUUAUUAUGGUCCUGGAAAAAUGAGACUCAAGGACAAAUACUUCAAAUUCAUGGAGAAAAUUUCAUGUGUCCAAUUGGAAAAGGCUUUUCUCCGACCAUUGACGUCCCGAGUUGAUCGAUACAAGCUAUACCUUGCUUUAAUUGUCGAAGGAGUAUCCGAUGAUCUGGAUAAUAAUGUGGGUAUUGAUAUCGAUAUAUUGUCAAUCGUUGACAACCUAAACAUAUUUUUUUAUUACCCUUGGGGUAAAGUAGGUACAAUCAUCUGUUAAGGGGAUUCAGGGGUAGUUGAACAUGGAAAUUUCGUAAGGCUAAAGCAAAGAAGGAGAAGGAAAUCCGUUAUAUGAUUCAUGGAUUUUCCAUUGCCAUGCAAAUAUGAAUAAUUAUUUUCAAAAAUGUAUUCAUUAUUAUUUCAAUAAAAAUAUAUUGUCACGUGUAUGGAAACUUUUGUAACAAUGGUAUUUUUUUUUACAAA